UACGAAGGGGGCUAGCGUUGUUCGGAAUCACUGGGCGUAAAGGGCGCGUAGGCGGCCGAUCAAGUCGGGGGUGAAAGCCUGUGGCUCAACCACAGAAUUGCCUUCGAUACUGGCGAUCUUGAGUCCGGGAGAGGUGAGUGGAACUGCGAGUGUAGAGGUGAAAUUCGUAGAUAUUCGCAAGAACACCAGUGGCGAAGGCGGCUCACUGGCCCGGUACUGACGCUGAGGUGGCGAAAGCGUGGGGAGCAAACAGG
rnacentral:rRNA from 1 species